ACCAGACUCCUACGGGAGGCAGCAGUGGGGAAUAUUGCACAAUGGGGGAAACCCUGAUGCAGCGACGCCGCGUGAGUGAGGAAGUAUUUCGGUAUGUAAAGCUCUAUCAGCAGGGAAGAAAAUGACGGUACCUGACUAAGAAGCCCCGGCUAACUACGUGCCAGCAGCCGCGGUAAUACGUAGGGGGCAAGCGUUAUCCGGAUUUACUGGGUGUAAAGGGAGCGUAGGCGGUAAUGCAAGUCAGAAGUGAAAGCCCGGGGCUCAACUCCGGGACUGCUUUUGAAACUGUGUUGCUAGAUUGCAGGAGAGGUAAGUGGAAUUCCUAGUGUAGCGGUGAAAUGCGUAGAUAUUAGGAGGAACACCAGUGGCGAAGGCGGCUUGCUGGACCGUAACUGACGUUGAGGCUCGAAAGCGUGGGGAGCAAACAGGAUUAGAUACCCUCGUA
rnacentral:rRNA from 1 species